rnacentral:rRNA from 1 species
UACGAAGGGGGCUAGCGUUGCUCGGAAUCACUGGGCGUAAAGGGUGCGUAGGCGGGUUUUUAAGUCAGAGGUGAAAUCCUGGAGCUCAACUCCAGAACUGCCUUUGAUACUGAAAGUCUUGAGUAUGGGAGAGGUGAGUGGAACUGCGAGUGUAGAGGUGAAAUUCGUAGAUAUUCGCAAGAACACCAGUGGCGAAGGCGGCUCACUGGCCCAUUACUGACGCUCAGGCGCGAUAGCGUGGGGAUCAAACAGG